UGGGGAAUAUUGCACAAUGGGGGAAACCCUGAUGCAGCAACGCCGCGUGGAGGAUGAAGGUCUUCGGAUUGUAAACUCCUUUGAUGAGGGACGCGGUACCUCAAAAACAAGCCACGGCUAACUACGUGCCAGCAGCCGCGGUAAUACGUAGGUGGCAAGCGUUGUCCGGAAUUAUUGGGCGUAAAGGGCGCGUAGGCGGCUUUUUAAGUCAGAUGUGAAUACCUAGGCUCAACCUGGAAUGGCAUCUGAUACUGGGAGGCUAGAGUGCAGGAGAGGUAAGGGAAUUCCUAGUGUAGCGGUGAAAUGCGUAGAAUUAGGAGGAACACCAGUGGCGAAGGCGAUUACUGGACUGUAACUGACGCUGAGGCGCGAAAGCGUGGGGAGCAAACAGGAUUAGAUACCCGAGUAGU
rnacentral:rRNA from 1 species